rnacentral:SRP_RNA from 1 species
GCUGGGCGUGGUGGCGCGUGCCUGUAGUCCCAGCUACUCGGGAGGCUGAAGUGGGAGGAUCGCUUGAGCCCAGGAGUUCUGGGCUGUAGUGCGCUAUGCCAAUCAGGUGUCUGCACUAAGUUCGGCAUCAAUAAUGGUGACCUCCUGGGAGCGGGGGACCACCAGGUUGCCUAAGGAGGGGUGCACUGGCCCAGGUCGGAAACGGAGCAGGUCAAAACUUCCGUGCUGUUCAGUAGUGGGAUCGUGCCUGUGAAUAGCCACUGCACUCCAGCCUGGGCAACAUAGCGAGACCCCAUCUCU